UCCGGGCUUCGUGGCGAUUUGUUACCGGAUUGCGGGCCACGUUAAACAUGCCGCUAAAAUGGUCAGGGUUUUCACCCC
rnacentral:ncRNA from 2 species